rnacentral:piRNA from 1 species
UUCGCAGUUGGUCUAAGCCAGGUGGUUGA